rnacentral:tRNA from 1 species
GUGGCUGUGGCAUAGUGGUAGUGUGCUUGCCUAGCAUGUGUGAGGCACUGGGUUCAAUUCUCAGCACCACA